rnacentral:rRNA from 1 species
UGACAUGUCGAACGCCCCGCAAGGGGAGUGGCAGACGGGUGAGUAACGCGUGGGAACAUACCCUUUCCUGCGGAAUAGCUCCGGGAAACUGGAAUUAAUACCGCAUACGCCCUACGGGGGAAAGAUUUAUCGGGGAAGGAUUGGCCCGCGUUGGAUUAGCUAGUUGGUGGGGUAAAGGCCUACCAAGGCGACGAUCCAUAGCUGGUCUGAGAGGAUGAUCAGCCACAUUGGGACUGAGACACGGCCCAAACUCCUACGGGAGGCAGCAGUGGGGAAUAUUGGACAAUGGGCGCAAGCCUGAUCCAGCCAUGCCGCGUGAGUGAUGAAGGCCUUAGGGUUGUAAAGCUCUUUCACCGAUGAAGAUAAUGACGGUAGUCGGAGAAGAAGCCCCGGCUAACUUCGUGCCAGCAGCCGCGGUAAUACGAAGGGGGCUAGCGUUGUUCGGAAUUACUGGGCGUAAAGCGCACGUAGGCGGAUAUUUAAGUCAGGGGUGAAAUCCCGCAGCUCAACUGCGGAACUGCCUUUGAUACUGGGUAUCUUGAGUAUGGAAGAGGUAAGUGGAAUUCCGAGUGUAGAGGUGAAAUUCGUAGAUAUUCGGAGGAACACCAGUGGCGAAAGCGGCUUACUGGUCCAUUACU